GACGAACGCUGGCGGCGUGCUUAACACAUGCAAGUCGAACGGUGAACCAGAGCUUGCUCUGGGGAUCAGUGGCGAACGGGUGAGUAACACGUGGGCAACCUGCCCAGACUCUGGGAUAACUCCGGGAAACCGGAGCUAAUACCGGAUACGACUACUUCGGACAUCCGACGGUAGUGGAAAGUUUUUCGGUCUGGGAUGGGCCCGCGGCCUAUCAGCUAGUUGGUGGGGUAAUGGCCUACCAAGGCGACGACGGGUAGCCGGCCUGAGAGGGCGACCGGCCACACUGGAACUGAGACACGGUCCAGACUCCUACGGGAGGCAGCAGUGGGGAAUAUUGCACAAUGGGCGAAAGCCUGAUGCAGCGACGCCGCGUGAGGGACGACGGCCUUCGGUUGGUUAAACCGUACUUUCAGCAGGGACGAAGCGAAAGUGACUGUACCUGCAGAAGAAGCACCGGCUAACUACGUGCCAGCAGCCGCGGUAA
rnacentral:rRNA from 1 species